rnacentral:tRNA from 1 species
CAAGGAAUAGCUCAAGAGAUUAGAGCAUCUCCCUUACACUGAGAAUGUAUUUGUGCAAAUCAAAUUUCCUUGA